rnacentral:lncRNA from 1 species
UUUGCAAAUCAUCUAUCUGAUAAGGAACUUGUGCCUACAAUAAAUAAAGAAUUCUUAUGAAACAAUAAUAAGAAGAAAAAGAAUCCAAUCUAAAAGUUGACAAAACUGAUUUAUUCUUCCAGUAAAGAACAACAAAACACUACUUUGUCCAUGAAAGGAUGGCAGAAAUCUCUGUUGUUUGGGAAGAUGCAAGAGACUGUGUCAUUAGACCUGGACAGCUAAGAUCAAGAAGUCAAGGAGAACCUGAUGACCUUGCCGUGUCCAUGAGUCCAUGGCACCCUGACGUCUCCAAGCUUGGUCAGUCUGAGUCCUCACCCUUCCUCAUUUUGCAAAGAAUCUGCAAACAUCUGUUUAACCCUCGCU